UGCAGGCUAGCAUAUCCUGGAAGAGAAGGCGGUAGGGGAUCAUUUGCCAAGAAGCUACCGGGGCAGAUUCCGUCUACAAGUGAGACUAUACAGUGUUUGUCUUUCUCUGUGUGACUUGCUUCACGGGGUCCUGGUUCUGAGAGGGGCCGUGGCCACCUCCAGAGUGAGGCCAGGAAGAAGGAAGGACGGUGUGUCCGAGCUAGAGCUGGGUUUUGUCUCCAUAAGAUUUCGUCUCCCGUCCUACGUGGCCGGGCCGGGUAUUUCUCGGUGCAGCGGCUACAAACGUGUGGAGGCUGGAAUCGGACAGAUUUGAGUGCAGAUUUCUGUGCUCACUGGCAAAGACCUCCGAGCCUCAGUUUCUUCAUCUGUAAAACGAGCACAGAGUAUCCACCUCGGGGCUUGGGUUGUGAAGACUGAUCGAGGUAGCGGCGUAAUGCCGAGGCCCAGUGAGUGUGAGCUACGACCCACGCUGAUACCUCCAAGUGAGGCC